rnacentral:lncRNA from 1 species
AACCGUUAUUUUUUAAUGGCCAUUUAAAUAUUUUUCAUCUAUAUAAACAAAAGAAAGUCGUGACAGUUACCAACACAUAACUCGAGAACGACUGAAUAGAUUUUUAUGAAAGUUUCCACGUGUAUUUGACCGGACCGAGAAUAGGUUGUUAUGUAUUUUUCAUAUCCGUACGUCGUAACGGGGGCUGCCCCCCUAAUAUAUUUUUUUAUGUUUUUGGUCAAACUGUUUUUUCUUAAUUUUGUGUGAUGUGGAAGGCAAAGGUAAAUACAACCCUAAAUUUUCUCUUUUCUAUCUUCGACCAUUAUUUUUUAAUAGCCAUCUAAAAUUUUGCAUCUUAUAUAUAAAAAUCAUUUGCUGUGCGUUAGUCUCGCUAAAACUCGAGAAUGGCUGGACCGAUGUGGCUAAUUUUGAUGUUGAAUUAUUUGUGGAAGUUCAGGGAAGGUUUAUACGGUUUUAUAUUGUCAUUUUAGUAGCCACCAAAAUUUUUACAGCUAUAUGUAUAAAAUGCUCUUUUUACACUGUUUGUUGCCAUACUCCUCCGAAACGACUUGACCGAUUUUUAUGUGAGUUUGCAAGUAUACUCGACUGGCCUGGGAGUAGGUUUUUAUCUAUAUUUCUUAUCCGUGCGUCUUAAGGGGGGUUGCCCCCCUUAUAUUUAUUUCUAUUUUUUCAGACAAUCUCUUUUUUUUUAAUUUCAUAUGAUGUGGAACGUAAAGAUACAUACAACCCUAAAUUUUCACUUUUCUAUCACUAACCGUUAUUUUUUAAUGGCCAUUUAAAUAUUUUACAUCUAUAUAAACAAAAGAAAGUCGUGACAGUUACCAACACAUAACUCGAGAACGACUGAAUAGAUUUUUAUGAAAUUUUCCACGUAUAUUCGACCGGACCGAGAAUAGGUUGUUAUGUAUUUUUCAUAUCCGUACGUCGUAACGGGGGCUGCCCCCCUAAUAUAUUUUUUUAUUUUUUUGGUCAAACUGUUUUUUCUUAAUUUUGUGUGAUGUGGAAGGCAAAGGUAAAUACAACCCUAAAUUUUCUCUUUUCUAUCUUCGACCAUUAUUUUUUAAUAGCCAUCUAAAAUUUUGCAUCUUAUAUAUAAAAAUCAUUUGCUGUGCGUUAGUCUCGCUAAAACUCGAGAAUGGCUGGACCGAUGUGGCUAAUUUUGAUGUUGAAUUAUUUGUGGAAGUUCAGGGAAGGUUUAUACGGUUUUAUAUUGUCAUUUUAGUAGCCACCAAAAUUUUUACAGCUAUAUGUAUAAAAUGCUCUUUUUACACUGUUUGUUGCCAUACUCCUCCGAAACGACUUGACCGAUUUUUAUGAGAGUUUGCAAGUAUACUCGACUGGCCUGGGAGUAGGUUUUUAUCUAUAUUUCUUAUCCGUGCGUCUUAAGGGGGGUUGCCCCCCUUAUAUUUAUUUCUACUUUUUCAGACAAACUCUUUUUUUUUAAUUUCAUAUGAUGUGGAACGUAAAGAUACAUACAAUCCUAAAUUUUCACUUUUCUAUCACUAACCGUUAUUUUUUAAUGGCCAUUUAAAUAUUUUACAUCUAUAUAAACAAAAGAAAGUCGUGACAGUUACCAACACAUAACUCGAGAACGACUGAAUAGAUUUUUAUGAAAUUUUCCACGUAUAUUCGACCGGACCGAGAAUAGGUUGUUAUGUAUUUUUCAUAUCCGUA